rnacentral:lncRNA from 1 species
CAGUAAUAACAUAUAAUAAACUGGUUUCAAAAUGCUACACUCCAAAUCGUAGCCUCCAGACGAGAAGCAGCAGCCGGAGACAUCCUGGAGGUUAGGACAGGAGGGAAGGGGGGCCCCUGAGACUCCGGAGAGCCUGAGGGUUAGACAAAGAGUUGAUGGAGCUCAGCUUCUGACGAUGAGGAACAUCUGGAGAGCCUGGCCGCAAGCUCAGUGCACAGAAUGCAAAGUACUCAGGGCUGCAGCCAGAAUCUGGAUGAAGCGAACAACAUGUUUAAGUUUUUAGAAAGUGCCUUCUUCUGCAGAGUACAUUUUAAAAGGAAAAACUGGUAUGUUCUAGAACACCAGGAAUUCUCAGAUGCUGUGCUUUUAACAACACAGUGUUCAGAUAAUAAAAAUUAAUGGGUUACAGAGUGUGGUACACAGUUCCUUGUAAAUUAGAUUUAAUUACAACUACCACUGAAGUCUCCUAUUUUUGCCAGAAGCUUUUAUCCUUCUAUCCUUGGCCAAUGAACUUCAGAUACAAGAUAGAUCUUCAUAUUGAACCAACUGUAACAAACAGCAUAUUUAAUUGUAAGGUUACUUCAAAUGCUGAGGAACUGGGCUCUACUGCUGUGAGCACCUCCAAAUGAAACCAUUAGCUGCUUCAUUAUGCUGGUGAAUUUCUAAUUCUUGUUUCUCUUGUUUCUCACACGUUCUAUUUUCCAAAGAAUUUCCAAUCCACAAAAGAAACAGCAAAGGAGGCAUGUGAUGGAUGUUCAGUCCACUCCACCUACUCAGAGCUCAGACCCCCAAGCAGACACUUCCUGCAGCUGCAGCUUACAAAGGAUGCUCUUUGGAUUUUUCUGGCAAUAGCUGGUAGUUUAAGAGAACAAAAUCCUGUACCCUCCUUAAUCCACAGGCACUUCCCUUUACACCACAAAUACUGACAUUUGUCUCUCCUACAGUCAUGUGAUAAUAUAGAGAGCAGGAAAAAAAGCUUGGAAAUGAACAUUUUAAGGACAGGCAAAACCGUGUCCACUAUGCUUCUAACAAGUGUGAUGAAUACUCCUGACGAAUGUCAUUAAUAAGACAUACACUGCAUUUAGGUGGCAUCACAGCUUGAUCUAGGCACUACAUGAUACUAAGUGAAUUAAUCACUUAGAAAUCUGAGUGGGUACUACGAUUAUCCCCACUGUGGGGUGGGGGAACUGAGGCAGGGUGAGGUGAAAUAAGUUGCCACGUCAGGGUCACUACUCUACACACUGCUCCCUGAGAAUCACUCGAAGGCUAACCUGCACCCGUUGGCUUACCUCUGCUCUCACACAUCCAAAAGGCAUUCUGAGGGAAGACAGGGCUCAUCACAACAGUCUUCAUUCAGACAUCCUCUUCCACAAAUCUCAUUUGAAAGGAUGCUCCAUUUCUCCAAAUCUCUACCUCAUUAGACGUGUUUCACUGUCCUUGAGACAUUCCCAUACAACACGCCACCCUACACUGACCUUAUGAUGGCCAUCUUCAUACAGUAGCCCAGAGGCAUCAGGACGUUGCUCACGCCUAAGGUGUCAGCAAUCAUAAAGACAGAGGAAGGGGACACACUGCUGUGCCCCUCAACAGAGAGCAGCUCCUCUUCCUCUUGUGCACCCCACAUGCUAGCAAACCAGAACUCCAUCCCCGCCCUCCUUCACAAUUGGCUCCAAACCACCCAGUGCAGUAAAAACUUAGCCUGGAACCUUCAAAACUAGGAUUUUAUUGUGUGAGAUCAAGACAAAAUCUAGUAGUAGCACAAUCACAGAUGACACUUUUUUGGCUCCAAACAAGACAUAAAAUUCCAAACAAGCAUUUCCUGAGGAAUAAAAAGCAUAAUCAGCUUUUAGAGUCUAUAGCUAUUGGCAGGUUCUGGUACUUUCACCAAGGUCUAAAAACAUUCAAGGCAUCCAUAAAGACCCUAGAAAAAGAGCUGCAGUUCUUUUACUUAAAGCACCAGAUUGAUUUCUGAGGCACAUCUAAUGUAACACUAAUGAAAUAACAAAAAGGAAAAAAUUGACAGUUUUAGUGUACAGUCAACUAGAAUGCACUGUCCUCCUUCAACUGUGUUUCCUGUCCUUGUGCUUCCCCAACAGCCAGCAGCCUGCACCCUCCCCACCACCACCAGCGUCAGCCCAGUGCAGAGCUGGCACCUGUGUCCAGGAAGACCGACGUUCCCUGGCCCAGAGCCCCAGGCACACAGAGGACAGGGCCAUGCUGCUCCUGCACCUGGCUCUCUUAGAGAGGGUGGGUCACAACAUCCCAACAUGACUCAUCCACGUUCUUGAGAAUUUGGAGAGCCAUACCAGAUGGUUAACAAAAUUUUUAACAAGAUUGUUUCUUAGAAUUUAUUACUUGUUAUACUAAGAACAUAAAAAGGUAAUUUUAAUAUAAGACCUUGUCCUCAUAUCGUUCCAUUAUUAAGUACAAAGCCAGAAAUAUCUGACCAGGAAACAUGUUCUGAAAAAUGUCACCUCCGUGAACUGAUUCUGAAGAAUGCUGUCAGAAUUAAGAUAACGUCUGCAAAGCUUUUGCAGUCCUUGGAAGGGAAAUGUUUCUGGAAAUAAGGAUGGAGCUUGUUCUUUUCCUUUUAUUUUUAUUUUUAACAAAGAUCACAAAAUGAAGACUUUAGCAUGGUUACCUUCUAAGUAAUCACCUUGGAAGCUACAGACUUAUUCCAACACAUGCUACAGAAAUGCUGCCAGUGCCCAAAGCCAUCUGGAAACCCUUUCUUCAAAUUGCCUAUUAUAGCCUAUGGCGCAUUCUCUAAUGUAGUAAACUGUUAUUCUUUCAAAACCUAUUAGAAUUUGGGAAAUACGUAAAUUAUUCUAUGCCAAGUAUAGGUGAAUAGAGUAAGGAAACUUGGUUACUCUGUUCAAAAAAAAAGUUACAAAUGUACUUGGUAUAUCAGAUAUCAAAUUAUUGUGUAAUAAACCAUCCCAAAACUUAGAGACUCAAAACAAUGACUUUUUAUUUCUUAUGACCCUGUGGGUUGACUAGGUAGUUCCUAAAAAUUACAAAUAAAAUCAUUAAUAAAAAUUAUAAAAUGACCAGAAUGGAAAACAUAUUCACAACACUAGCCAUGGUAUUUUAAAUUACUUCAGCUUGGUAUAGGGCUUUCAAAUUGCCUGGAAAUGUUGGGCUGGCCAUGUGCUACUUUUCACAAGAUGAUUAACCGGGCUUUUAUUUUUGUCUUCUUUUUUCCUGAAAAUUUGAGGGCCAGGUAGGUCCUCUGGGUCCAGACCUCCAAUCACUUCUGUGUUUUUUCUUUUAUUAGUGUAGAUCUUGUGAUUUGCAGACAAUCUAUAUUUUAAGAAAAUGAGCUAUUCCGAGUUAACAAAUGAACAGGACUAAUUCAUUAAUAUUUUCAAGGUAGGGAUCCCUUGGCGCAGCGGUUGGGCGCCUGCCUUUGGCCCAGGGCGCGAUCCCGGAGACCCGGGAUCGAGUCCCACAUCGGGCUCCCGGUGCAUGGAGCCUGCUUCUCCCUCUGCCUGUGUCUCUGCCUCUCUCUCUCUCUGUGACUAUCAUAAAUAAAUAAAUAAUUAAAAAGAAAAGAAAAGAAAGCUUUAAAAAAUAUAUAGAUUUUCAAGGUAAAUCUAAGUGAAGCAAUGAAAAUGGACCUUUCCCUUUCUCCAAGGCAUCACCUCAGACCACAGCUCCUCUUACCCUCCAGGAAAAGGUUCUGUUAUCAGAGUAGUAAUGCUUAAUCCUCAAAGAUAACAAAUAAUGCAGCCAAACACAGCAGUCUAAAGACUACAGGACAUGACCUGAGCAAAGUAUGACACUCAAAAUGCAAUGUAUUUCUUUGUAAUCAACUCAGUAUUAAAAUUCCUAUUUGAAAACAGGUUUUAAUCUUUAAAAACUGCUACAGCUUAGGUACAGUUUCAACUUUUACUAUACUUUUGUGGUGUGGUAAAUAGAAGCAAAAUCUUAAGUUUCUCUAAAAUAAACGGCAGAUCAGAAGUAAGUUUUCCUUCUUGAUACAGUUAUCCCUGAAAGAAUACGGAUUUUUAAAACAUCCUUUAAAUGUAGAAAAUGAGUUUUCAGCUAACUUUGAAAAAGCCAAACCUCAGUCACUUAACAACAAAGAGGAAAACUUAACUCAGUAAACAGGGGAUUUGUUCAGCCGCCUUAACUGAAUGUGUAACCUGCCAUCAGGAACCACAGCAGAGCAGAAACUGAGAAGAAUGCCCUUAAAGGACCAUAGCUUGGGAUCCCUGGGUGGCGCAGCGGUUUGGCGCCUGCCUUUGGCCCAGGGCGCGAUCCUGGAGACCUGGGAUCGAAUCCCACGUUGGGCUCCCAGUGCAUGGAGCCUGCUUCUCCCUCUUCCUAUGUCUCUGCCUCUCUCUCUCUCUCUCUUUUUUCUCUCUCUCUCUGUGACUAUCAUGAAUAAAUUGUAAAAAAAGAUAUUAUCACCCAGUUGAACAGAACUGAGCAAUAUACCAUAUCCUAUGUCUUUUUGUUAGAGAAAUAUAUCCCAAAGGAAAAACAAGCAGGACUUACAUGUAUAUAGAAAUAAAAUUAAAUAUGGUGAAAGAGGGAUCCCUGGGUGGCGCAGCGGUUUGGCGCCUGCCUUUGGCCCAGGGCGCGAUCCUGGAGACCCGGGAUCGAAUCCCACAUCGGGCUCCCGGUGCAUGGAGCCUGCUUCUCCCUCUGCCUAUGUCUCUGCCUCUCUCCCUCUCUCUCUCUCUCUCUCUCUCUCUGUGUGUGUGUGACUAUCAUAAAUAAAUAAAAAAUUUUAAAAAAGGACCAUAGCUUUAUUCCGUGUCCUGAACCCCAAAACCCAGUAGCUUUCAGUCACGGCCUCUGCUGACUGCACUUAUGUCUGCCUCCCCCACAACUCCACAGUUGGAAGCUUCUUCGACCUCUACUUGCAGAUCCUGUCCACCAAAUCCGAGGUCGACCCACGAUGCUCAGUCCUCAGACAGGCACUGGGCGCUUACAGUGUGCCAUCAUGUCUCAGGCCCCAGGAGUCUAGACCUGAAGAAUGAUGCAUACCCCCUGACCGGCAUCUGCACCCACAGGGGAGCCGGAAACUAAAACACAGACCGGACACGGCAGGUAUUGAAUUCAAGUGAGAAGUGCAAUGAAAGACUAAGGUCCUGUCAAGCGGUCAGAGAAACCCCUCAGCAAGUGACUCUCAAGCUGAGAGGGCCAAGGGUGGGAAGGAAUGCACCAGAGGAGCAGGGUCCUGACCGAGGCAGGAGCGUCCUCGGAACACAGUGAGGAAUCGUGAGGGCAGGGACACCUGGCAUGAUGACACAAUACACACUGCCCCUAGGACACCGUAUCUGGCUCCCAGAAGACACUAUGCCAUGGCUACUUCUCCUGCCCUAUGGUAGGACGGGGUGGGGACAGAAGCCAGAUUUCUGAGUCAAUAGCUAGUGGCCGCGGUGCUGCUUUUAUGACAGACCCUGCUCUAGUCAGUCAGCGGAGAACUGAGCUCUCACCCCUGGGCAACACUACCUCAGGCGACCUCUCAAUCACAGCCAUUUACUUUGGGAACCUCAAUGCUGGCCCUGUUCUCUCCUUCCAGGAGGUCUGGACUUGACCCCAAGCCCUUCUCUACAACUCCCUGUCUGGACAAUAGUACAGCAUGACAUCUAACUUAAGAAACCAAAACGUAGCAAGGGAAGUGAUCGGACCAGAGGUAAAAUAUGCUUCAAGAUGCCAAAUGGCAAGAGGUUCUAUUCAAGGCCAGCACAGCCCUGGGAGUGAAUUGGCCAUCACUGCACAAAUCUCUGGCUCUCAGAUACAGGGAAGGGGGCAGUGGCAGAAAUAAAGAGAUGGUGAUGAGAAUAAUGCCACAGCCUCAGCAAGCUUCUCAAACAUCCUCUCCAUAAAGUCCAGCCAAUAGAAUGACAUCAAGAGCAAAAAUAAUCCUUAGUAGCAAUAGCCUCUUCUUAGUGAAAGAAGUUGGAACUUGUUCUACUGUUUGAAGGCAACACAUCAUUAUAAUUUUCCAAGAACUAAUAGGAUUAAACCAUUCAACAAAGAAUAAUAUUUUUUGAAAGAAGAUAAGAUGGCUUUGUGCCUUUCAAAAGACACCAUUCAAAGACUAUUUAGUAAUUCCGCCUUAAUAAUCUAAAAUCUAAUUGUAUGAAUUAUUUUAAUCAUGGGAAAUUUAUUUAACUAACUUAACUGUUUUUAAUGGAACCUAGAAAUAAUGAAUAUUUAAUACCUCGAGUAAUCGUUUUGGAGGGUACUUUUCAAGAAAAGAUUUUUCCACAGUUUUUAAUAAAUUUAAAAAAAGUACAUGUCUGGGAAUGAACUAUCUUGCCACUAUUCACAAAGACUUGAGUUUGAUUGGAAGACUAACCCGUUUGGGCAAACACAUCCAAGGCUCUGUGCCACUUAGUCCCACAAUGACCCAUCUGAUUCCAGAGGGGUUCUGAGCUUAGAGGUAUUAGCAAAAGUGGGUUUUGGAGUUCAGUCCAUAGUAGUCGGCUGUGGGCUUGACUGAGCAAGAUGAAGAGGGUCAAGAGGUUCUAAGUACAGAACCUAGUUAGCCUAAUGCAAAGGUGUUCUUACGGUACAAUAUCAAGAGUAGAAUCACCCAAGCAAUUCAGCUAAUCCACACUUGUUACAGUGCCCCAAACUCCCACCAUUAUAGUUCUAUAUUAAAGUUGUGCUGUGGCUUCCAGAAGGUCUCAGUGAAAUGUUAAAUGAGAGUUAACACCUUAAAUGAAAGGAUUGGAACAAAUGACCUUGAAAUCUCUUUAAAUCUCUAAAACUCUGAUUCUAUACAUACAAUUAAGUGCUAGGCAGAGAGUAGGGUCUAAAGGACCAGAAGAUCAGGCAAAGAUGAAUCUAGGCAGCCAGGAGAGGGAAAUGGGCAUAAUAGAGUGUUAGCUAAAAAAUCAAGUCAGAAUGUAUUAACUUUUAUGAAAUACAUGCCAUAUACAAACAUCCAUAUUUAUGGAGAUAAAACACUAAAGGUAUGUAUUUCAAAACUUUAACCAUUAUCUUAAAAUGGCAGGAUUGCAGGGAUUUUUUUUUCAUUUCUUUUCUAAAUUUCCACAAUGCAUAUUGCUGGUAGACCCCCUAGUAGAGACCUAGUAGAGGUCUCUUGCAAUUCUAUACGUCAUGUAAGCAGAGACACGAUCUUUGCUCCAAACUAUCAUUACAAGGGUAUUUUUACAGCAAAUAUAUUUGGAAGGGAGAAACAGUGUUUCCUCCAGACCAAAGAGCAGGUUUGCUUAUGAUCCUGGAAGGCAAUGAGUGUCUCUCUUCAGAGCCAAGAACAGCCAUGCUUACAAUCCAGUACAAAAGACUCAGACACCCUAAACUCAGGGUUCCUCUCCUGUAACACAAUCCCUGUGUAUACAAGUGUCAGUUGGCCUUCCUUGUGUCACCCUGUGGGAAUCAAGUCUUAGAGUACUAGUGCAAAAAAAUGCUGAUAUCAUGAC